UUCAUACUCACUACUGUGAAAACCUCAAAUCAUACAUCGUUAAGGAAAUUUCUUUGUUUUGAACGUAUUAUUAAUUAUUAAAUUCUCUUUUAUCUUGUGUUUAGUUACAUUAAUUCAUCUGCUAAAGAAAUUUUUAAAUUUGUUAUGAUCUGAUCUGAUAUAUUAAAUUAAAUUAUUUAUUGAAGUUUUAGAUUCUCACGGCGGCGAGUACAAAGAUGGCUGUCUCCUGGGUUUUAGCGCCAUGUUGUCUGGUAGAAACUUACCGACUUAUUAGAGAUGUCUUCUAGGUGCAAAGUGCUUGCCGCAUUCAACAUCAGGGAGAUGAUCGAGAUAGCAGAAACCUCUGAAACGUCGAUAAACUUCUACCAGUCUACACAGAGCAACAACAACAAAUUAUUUAUUGUUAUUAAUAUUUAUUCUUCUGAAUUUAUAUGCAGGAGUCUGUUCUAGUUACAGUAUCUUUGUAAAAAUUGUAAAUCUAUUUGUUCUUGAUGAACGUGUGUUCCUCGUAUCACUAAGUUUACACUAAGCCACUCAAGUGAAACGCCAACAACAGGUAGUUCCAUGGGACUCCACGUGAUCGCUGCACGUUGCCGAAGAAAGUAACGUUACUUUCUUCUGCUUUCAUGCUUCACAACCCUUAAAACUCAUCGACUUUAACCUUGGGUGCCGAAUCAGUUGCAAAAUUCGUGUAAAAAUAGUUGACUUAUCUUUGAUGGAAUGUUGCUUCAAGCAGUCAGCUGAGAUAUUUUUCUUCAGCAGAAUAUGACAAAAGAUUCAUGGUUACGCGAUCGAAGCUUUGAAAGACGCAGGAAGAAUUUCAGUCACUUGUUUUAUGAUAUUUUAGUCUGCUUCCCAGUUCUGUCACAUUAUUAAGAUUCGUUAUUUUUUAUAAGCUGCACCUUCAUUAACAUUAAGCCGUUAUACUAAAUUAUUUUCUCUUCACUUCUUCGUUUCAUAGUGUUUUAAUAAUAUAAUAUGUCCCACUCUAAAAUCUUGUCCUCAUCUGUCAUUCCUUGUCUCUAAACCUUUCACAUUCUGUAGUAGUAUAUAAGUCAGAUAUUUAUUUACCACGCCUCCACGGAGCCACUGAAUUAAAGAAUAAAUAAAUAACUAAGAAAUUAUAAACGUA